AUGAACGCUGGCGGCGUGCCUAAUACAUGCACGUCGAGCGAACAGACGAGGAGCUUGCUCCUUUGACGUUAGCGGCGGACGGGUGAGUAACACGUAGGUAACCUACCUAUAAGACUGGGAUAACUUCGGGAAACCGGAGCUAAUACCGGAUAAUAUUUCGAACCGCAUGGUUCGAUAGUGAAAGAUGGCUUUGCUAUCACUUAUAGAUGGACCUGCGCCGUAUUAGCUAGUUGGUAAGGUAACGGCUUACCAAGGCAACGAUACAUAGCCGACCUGAGAGGGUGAUCGGCCACACUGGAACUGAGACACGGUCCAGACUCCUACGGGAGGCAGCAGUAGGGAAUCUUCCGCAAUGGGCGAAAGCCUGACGGAGCAACGCCGCGUGAGUGAUGAAGGUCUUCGGAUCGUAAAACUCUGUUAUUAGGGAAGAACAAACGUGUAAGUAACUGUGCACGUCUUGACGGUACCUAAUCAGAAAGCCACGGCUAACUACGUG
rnacentral:rRNA from 1 species